GCUGAUGGGAGUUUUCUCCUGGCCAGUAACUAACCAUUUCUGAGAACUGACAGUGGUUUUGAUCAUUGAAAAGUGAGAUCAGCCUGUGAACACUGCCUGAAGAUGUAGCCCGGGAAUUUCUUCCUCUCUUUGGUUUCUGGCUUCUGAAGAGGAACUUUCUAAACUGCUCAUGGCUGUUGAAGUUUGAAAGCUGUAUCUGCUCUUUUCCUGGAAAAGAAAAAUUAAUCAUCUUAGUAAUAUUUAACUAUUUGGAGGAGAUUCAAGAUGUCUUUUGAAUAUUCAUUUUGUCCAAAGCCACAAGACAUAAAUUUAUGCCUACAUUGACACAGGUGCUUCUUGGAGUUGGAUUUGUUCUUGGCUAGACUGAGUUCACCCCAAUCCAAAUUUGGGUUCUCCUGCCAGAUCAAACAGAGUUGCCAAGAAAGGCACGGCUAACUUCUAAUCCAGGCCUGCAGUACAGAUAGAGCUGCCUCUUUUUUACUUCUGAAGCGCCUUCUUCCCUUUCCAGCAUAUUCAACAAAAAUGCAGAAACAAGCCUAAAAAACACUGCAGUGUGAUGCCUGAAUGUGCAUGACAUGAGUUGCUAUGCUGCAGGAUACAGUGGUGAACUGCACUGUCAGAAGGUCAGUAAACCAAGUAUAAGUAAAAGAAGACAGACAUUCCUUCCCAUGCAGGAAAGUCUGGGAUUUCCUGUGAAGCAGUUAGAAAAAAGUGGGACACGAUCUAAAUAGAAGGUAGCCCGAAUAAUUUUAUUUUUGUUACCUUGCUAGUCAGUGUUUUCAAAUAGGGUAAUACUUGCUGUCAACAAAACAACAGUUCUUUUGCCAGAACAGUACUUCAUUAUUUUUUUCCUAUGUUUAACAAUAUGUUUACUUCUAUCCUCCAGCUACCCUUUCUCAUUUUGUCAGGUAAGAUAGGAAAAUAGAAACUUCCUUAAAAAAAAAAAAAUCCAAAAAAGGCCCCCAAACCGAACAAAAAAACUUCA